GGGGAGGUGCCAGAGUGGACGAUUGGGGCCGCCUGCUAAGCGGUUAACGGUGAUGAGCCGUUCGCAGGUUCGAAUCCUGUCCUCCCCG
rnacentral:tRNA from 1 species